rnacentral:rRNA from 1 species
UACGGAGGGUGCAAGCGUUGUCCGGAAUUACUGGGCGUAAAGCGCGCGCAGGCGGUCUUCCAAGUCAGUGGUGAAAGCCCGGAGCUCAACUCCGGAACUGCCAUUGAAACUGUUAGACUUGAGGACGAGAGAGGUGAGUGGAAUUCCCAGUGUAGAGGUGAAAUUCGUAGAUAUUGGGAAGAACACCGGUGGCGAAGGCGGCUCACUGGCUCGUAUCUGACGCUCAGGCGCGAUAGCGUGGGGAUCAAACAGG